AUUGAACGCUGGCGGCAUGCCUUACACAUGCAAGUCGAACGGUAACGCGGGGCAACCUGGCGACGAGUGGCGAACGGGUGAGUAAUGCAUCGGAACGUGCCCAGUAGUGGGGGAUAGCCCGGCGAAAGCCGGAUUAAUACCGCAUACGACCUACGGGUGAAAGCGGGGGACCGUAAGGCCUCGCGCUAUUGGAGCGGCCGAUGUCAGAUUAGGUUGUUGGUGGGGUAAAAGCCUACCAAGCCGACGAUCUGUAGCUGGUCUGAGCGGACGACCAGCCACAGUGGGAGUGAGACACGGCCCAGACUCCUACGGGAGGCAGGAGUGGGGAAUUUUGGACAAUGGGGGCAACCCUGAUCCAGCCAUGCGGCGUGCGGGAAGAAGGACUUCGGGUUGUAAACCGCUUUUGUCAGGGAAGAAACGCUCUGGGCUAAUACCCCGGGGUAAUGACGGUACCUGAAGAAUAAGCACCGGCUAACUACGUGCCAGCCGCCGCCGUAACAC
rnacentral:rRNA from 1 species